AGCAGUCGCCGCGGGAAUACGUAGGGUGCAAGCGUUAAUCGGAAUUACUGGGCGUAAAGCGUGCGUAGGCGGCUUCUUAAGUCGGAUGUGAAAUCCCUGAGCUUAACUUAGGAAUUGCAUUCGAUACUGGGAAGCUAGAGUAUGGGAGAGGAUGGUAGAAUUCCAGGUGUAGCGGUGAAAUGCGUAGAGAUCUGGAGGAAUACCGAUGGCGAAGGCAGCCAUCUGGCCUAAUACUGACGCUGAGGUACGAAAGCAUGGGGAGCAAACAGGAUUAGAUACCCGCGUAGUCCCUGUCUCUAUACA
rnacentral:rRNA from 1 species